CGCAAGCCUGACGGAGCAAGACCGCGUGAGGGAGGAAGGCUCUUGGGUUGUAAACCUCUUUUAUCAGGGAAGAAGUUCUGACGGUACCUGAUGAAUCAGCAUCGGCUAACUCCGUGCCAGCAGCCGCGGUAAUACGGAGGAUGCAAGCGUUAUCCGGAUUUAUUGGGCGUAAAGCGUCCGCAGGUGGUUGUUCAAGUCUGCUGUUAAAGCGCGAGGCUUAACCUUGUAAAGGCAGUGGAAACUGAGCGACUAGAGUAUGGUAGGGGUAGCGGGAAUUCCCAGUGUAGCGGUGAAAUGCGUAGAUAUUGGGAAGAACACCAGCGGCGAAAGCGCGCUACUGGGCCAUUACUGACACUCAGGGACGAAAGCU
rnacentral:rRNA from 1 species